rnacentral:rRNA from 1 species
CCUAACAUGCAAGUCGAGCGAGAAAUAACGAGGUGAGAUUUCGGUCAAGCGACGUUAUGGAAAGCGGCGGACGGGUGAGUAACGCGUAGGCAACCUGCCCCAUACAGAGGGAUAGCCUCGGGAAACCGGGAUUAAAACCUCAUAACGCGAGGAGUUCACAUGAAGACCUCGCCAAAGAUUUAUCGGUAUGGGAUGGGCCUGCGUCUGAUUAGCUGGUUGGUGAGGUAACGGCUCACCAAGGCGACGAUCAGUAGCCGACCUGAGAGGGUAAUCGGCCACAUUGGAACUGAGACACGGUCCAAACUCCUACGGGAGGCAGCAGUGGGGAAUAUUGCACAAUGGGCGAAAGCCUGAUGCAGCAACGCCGCGUGAGCGAAGAAGGCCUUUGGGUCGUAAAGCUCUGUCCUAGGGGAAGAAAAAAAUGACGGUACCCUUGGAGGAAGCCCCGGCUAACUACGUGCCAGCAGCCGCGGUAAUACGUAGGGGGCGAGCGUUAUCCGGAAUUAUUGGGCGUAAAGAGUGCGUAGGUGGUCUUGUAAGCGCGGGGUGAAAGGCAAUGGCUCAACCAUUGUUAGCCUUGCGAACUGUGAGACUUGAGUGCAGGAGAGGAAAGUGGAAUUCCUAGUGUAGCGGUGAAAUGCGUAGAUAUUAGGAGGAACACCAGUGGCGAAGGCGACUUUCUGGACUGUAACUGACACUGAGGCACGAAAGCGUGGGGAGCAAACAGGAUUAGAUACCCUGGUAGUCCACGCCGUAAACGAUGAGCACUAGGUGUCGGGGUCGCAAGGCUUCGGUGCCGCAGUUAACGCAUUAAGUGCUCCNCCUGGGGGAGUACGCACNCAAGUGUGAAACUCAAAGGAAUUGACGGGNACCNCCCAAGCAGCGGANCAUGUGGUUUAAUUCNAAGCAACGCCNAAAAACCUUACCAGGACUNGACNUCCCUCUGAAAGCCCUUUANCNGGGGUCCCUCUUCNGANCAAAAGAAAACCGGUGGUGCAUGGUUGUCCUCCCCNCNUGUCCNGAAAUGUNGGUUAA